ACGGCUGCUCAGUAACACGUGGACAACCUGCCCUCGGGUGGGGGAUAACCCCGGGAAACUGGGGCUAAUCCCCCAUAGGUGAUGGGUGCUGGAAUGCCCCAUCUCCGUAAGCGCUUAGCGCCCGAGGAUGGGUCUGCGGCGGAUUAGGUAGUUGGUGGGGUAACGGCCCACCAAGCCUAAGAUCCGUACGGGCUGUGGGAGCAGGAGCCCGGAGAUGGACCCUGAGACAAGGGUCCAGGCCCUACGGGGCGCAGCAGGCGCGAAACCUCCGCAAUGCGGGAAACCGCGACGGGGUUAGCCGGAGUGCCCGUGCAUUGCAAGGGCUGUCGGGGUGCCUAAACAGCACCCCAUAGCAAGGGCCGGGCAAGGCCGGUGGCAGCCGCCGCGGUAAGACCGGCGGCCCGAGUGGCGGCCACUCUUAUUGGGCCUAAAGCGUCCGUAGCCGGCCCAGUAAGUCCCCCGGGAAAUCUGGUCGCUUAACGAUCAGACUUCCGGGGGGUACUGCUGGGCUAGGGACCGGGAGAGGCCGAGGGUAUUCCCGGGGUAGGGGUGAAAUCCUGUAAUCCCGGGAGGACCACCUGUGGCGAAGGCGCUCGGCUGGAACGGGUCCGACGGUGAGGGACGAAGGCCUGGGGAGCGAACCGGAUUAGAUACCCGGGUAGUCCAGGCUGUAAACGAUGCGGGCUAGGUGUCACCGGAGCUACGAGCUCCGGUGGUGCCGGAGGGAAGCCGUUAAGCCCGCCGCCUGGGAAGUACGGCCGCAAGGCUGAAACUUAAAGGAAUUGGCGGGGAGCAG
rnacentral:rRNA from 1 species